rnacentral:rRNA from 1 species
UACGUAGGGGGCAAGCGUUGUCCGGAAUUACUGGGCGUAAAGGGCGCGUAGGCGGCCUGUUAAGUCGAACGUGAAAUCCCCGGGCUCAACCCGGGAACUGCGUCCGAUACUGGCAGGCUUGAAUCCGGGAGAGGGAUGCGGAAUUCCAGGUGUAGCGGUGAAAUGCGUAGAUAUCUGGAGGAACACCGGUGGCGAAGGCGGCAUCCUGGACCGGUAUUGACGCUGAGGCGCGAAAGCCAGGGGAGCAAACGGG